rnacentral:rRNA from 1 species
UACGAAGGGGGCUAGCGUUGUUCGGAAUCACUGGGCGUAAAGCGCACGUAGGCGGAUUUUAAGUCAGGGGUGAAAUCCCGAGGCUCAACCUCGGAACUGCCUUUGAUACUGGAGAUCUUGAGUCCGGAAGAGGUAAGUGGAACUGCGAGUGUAGAGGUGAAAUUCGUAGAUAUUCGCAAGAACACCAGUGGCGAAGGCGGCUUACUGGUCCGGAACUGACGCUGAGGUGCGAAAGCGUGGGGAGCAAACAGGG